AUAUAAUACAUAUGUAUAUGUGUUGUGUAUUAUAUACAUAUGUGUAUGCAUUUAAUGUGGUAUAAAUUACUACAAUAUUUUUGGAUACUUGCUUUUAUGAAAAUUCAAAUUUUAGGUUAGAACACAUGUUUUACAGUCUACAACAUACGCACUGAUUCUAUAAUUUCUGUUUUCACACUGAAUUAAAGGAAAGAAAUUAAAACUGACACUUAAGAGAAUGAAGAGAUAUAUUUAUUGAUAAUUGUGAUGACUACCACCAAAAUUUCAGUGCUGGAAAGGGCAGUUCACUUUUUAUUAAUUACCUAAGUUCUAUUGACAUUUCUCAAUUUGCUUGGCAGGACCUCUCAGAGUGAAGAGAAAGAGCAUUGUGAAGAGAAGCAUUAGAGAAGGGGCUAUAACAUAAAGAUGAAUACUUUACAUUGAUAUGGACUCUGGAUUAUUGAUACAAAUUUAAGAAUAGAGCAAUGUGGGAAUUCUAAGCUGAGCUAGAGGAGAAAAGAAUGUGGAGUCAGAGAGAUGCCAUGGAGGUGCCGAAGGAGACAGAGGCCCCAGAACCUUACUGGUAAACCAUGAGCCUUGAGGCUGCAUCCCAGAAGAAAAGAUGGAGUGUUUGACUUGUGCAACCACUUUGGAAAGCAGUGUGGCUGUUUCUCAGGAAAUUCUGGAUCAACCUACCCCUGGACCCAGCAAUACCACUCUUGGAAAUAUACCCAAGAGAUACCCUAUCAUACAACAAAAGUAUAUGCUCAGCUAUGUUCAUAGCAGCAUUGUUUGUAAUAGCCAGAACCUGGAAACAACCUAGAUGCCCUUCCAUGGAAGAAUGGAUGAAGAAAGUGUGGAAUAUAUACAUAUUAGAGUACUACUCAGCAGUAAAAAACAAGGACUUCUUUAAGUUUGCAGGCAAAUGGAUGGAAAUAGAAAACACUAUCCUGAGUGAGGUAAGCCAGACCCAAAAAGAGGAACAUGGAAUGUACUCACUCAUAAUUGGUUUCUAGCCAUAAAUAAAGGACAUUGAGCCUAUAAUUCGUGAUCCUAGAGAAGCUAAAUAAGAAGGUGAACCCAAAAGAAAAACAUAUAGUCAUCCUCCUGGAUAUUAACCUUCAUCAGGCGAUGAAAGGAGACAGAGACAGAGUCCCACAUUGGAGCACCGGACUGAAACCCCAAGGUCCAAAUCAGGAGCAGAAGGAGAGAGAGCACGAGCAAGGAACUCAGGACCAUGAGGAGUGCACCCACACACUGAGACAAUGGGGAUGUUCUAUCAGAAACUCACCAAGGCCAGCUGGACUGGGCCUGAAAAAGCCUGGGAUAAAACCGGUCUCGCUGAACAUAGCGGACAAUGAGGACUGCUGACAAGUCAAAACAAUGGCACUGGGUUUUGAUCCUACUGCACGGUACUGGCUUUGUGGGAGCCUAGGCUCUUUGGAUGUUCACCUUACUAGACCUGGAAGGAAGUGGGAGGUCCUUGGACUCCCCACAGGGCAGGGAACCCUGACUGCUCUUUGGGCUGAUGGGCUGACAA